GUGCAGAAAGGUGGCAAUAAGCCUCCUGCAGUAGUGAGGCAGUUCGGCGUUAGAGACCGACUCCGGUACUCCACGUAUUCGUACAUUGCGUGCUUUAGCCCUGUCUUCCAUGCUGGCUAACUGUGCUGUCAGAUCGGCACAUUUCUUCUGCAGUGACCCUAGGGCAGUAUCUGUGGCGGACUGCGUCAGUUUAGCACUUGCCAUGUUCCCCUGCACUGCCUCCACUUGACUGGCAAGUAUGGUAACCUCCUCCCUAACCGGUGCAAUAUCUGCCUGAAACAUGGCUUUGAUGUCUUUCCUCAGUGCCUGUAUGUUGGCUUUGGUCGAGGGAGCUGAGUCACCCUCCUCCAGAGAUGUCCGCGACACCGAGCGUACCUUGGAUGCAGCAGGAGGGAGAUAUUGGAGGCUGUCAUCAUCCGACGUUGGAGUAGGCCCCAGCCAGCACCAUCUUGGGAAGCACGGUCCGUGGCGU